rnacentral:rRNA from 1 species
CCUACGUGAGGCUGCAGUGGGGAAUAUUGCGCAAUGGGCGAAAGCCUGACGCAGCGACGCCGCGUGAGGGAUGAAGGUCUUCGGAUCGUAAACCUCUGUCAGCAGGGAAGAACGGUCACUGUGCUAAUCAGCAGUGAAUUGACGGUACCUGCAAAGGAAGCACCGGCUAACUCCGUGCCAGCAGCCGCGGUAAUACGGAGGGUGCGAGCGUUAAUCGGAAUUACUGGGCGUAAAGCGCUCGUAGGCGGUAUGUCAAGUCAAGGGUGAAAUCCCCGCGCUCAACGUGGGAACUGCCUUUGAAGCUGGCAAACUGGAGUGUGUGAGAGGAUAGUGGAAGUCCAGGUGUAGGAGUGAAAUCCGUAGAUAUCUGGAGGAACAUCAGUGGCGAAGGCGACUAUCUGGCACAUAACUGACGCUGAGGAGCGAAAGCGUGGGUAGCAAACAGGAUUAGAUACCCCGGUAGUC